rnacentral:lncRNA from 10 species
GAGUUGGGGCCAAUAAUAAGCUGUUGUUUGAAGUCACUAAGCUUUCAGAUGGCUUGUUAUGCAGCAAGAGAGAAACAAAAUAGCCUCGAAGGGUAUCUGGGCCACGACGGCAUUUCAGAACAUUCACACAGAUACGACACCAGCUGCUGGCAAAAGAGAAGCCCCCACACUGAGCCUCACGUACCAAAGGCCAAAGGUAAGCGACUCCACUUGAGAUCGUCUGUGCGGCUACGUCUUCCGUAAGAAUCCACGAACACUCCAAAUUCUGCAAGGUGUCAAGAGCACGUGGGCAUUAGCACAGCCAAGAGCAGGGGCAUCAGCGACACACAUGGUGAUGGAAGAAUGAGGAGCAGAGCCCAGGGACCCCUGGCCAGAUGGGACUGACUGUGAAAACCAGAGGCCCUCUGCUGAGCCAGCUCUCAGCUUUAUUAAAAAUGAGGGACUUUUUAAA